AUACGUAGGUGGCAAGCGUUGUCCGGAAUUAUUGGGCGUAAAGCGCGCGCAGGUGGUUCCUUAAGUCUGAUGUGAAAGCCCCCGGCUCAACCGGGGAGGGUCAUUGGAAACUGGGGAACUUGAGUGCAGACGAGGAUAGUGGAAUUCCAAGUGUAGCGGUGAAAUGCGUAGAGAUUUGGAGGAACACCAGUGGCGAAGGCGACUGUCUGGUCUGUAACUGACACUGAGGCGCGAAAGCGUGGGGAGCAAACAGGAUUAGAUACCCUGGUAGUCCACGCCGUAAACGAUGAGUGCUAAGUGUUGGGGGGUUUCCGCCCCUCAGUGCUGCAGCUAACGCAUUAAGCACUCCGCCUGGGGAGUACGGUCGCAAGACUGAAACUCAAAGGAAUUGACGGGG
rnacentral:rRNA from 1 species